CUUAUAGCUAGGAAUACAAAAGAACCAAGGAGCACUUCAUCCUGAGAAGAAGAGGGAUGAUUACACUUCUGAUGAUUACAAAAGAGUGCUCUAGCUGCUGCGUAGAGGGGAGUGGGCUGUUUCGGAGGCCCCUCCUCCUAAUAAUACUAAUUUAGAGAGUUCUGAAAGUCAGAUCAAGGCAGUCCAAGCCCUCCGUUAACAGAUGAGAAAAAACAGUUAUGGAGGUGGUGUCAGCAUCAUGGCAGAGUGAACAGGCCUGGGACUCUCUCCCUUCCAACAUACAACAAAAAGGAGCAACCAUAUUCCAAAAGAAAAUAUCCUAACAACACAAAACCAGAGAGACACUCAGCCACACGAUGGAGGCUGGAGAGGCUGGAAACCCCUCAGAGCAGCUGGAACAUGGUAAGAGAGAACUUUGCUUCCUCCUCAAAAGAGUGAGGUUGCUGCCACUGGAAGCUCCAUGAGGGAAGGAGUAGGGGAGGGGUCACACAUCUGUGGACACCCAUCACCCAGGACAGCCUAGGGCCCUUGCAGCCUAAUAGGAAGCCCUUUAAGGCAGCAAAAGCUUUCACAUGGAGUGACCUCAUCAAGCCAAGACCCCAGGAGACCAGAUAGCGAGAGCUGAUCAAAAAGUCCUGGACUGCACACUGGAGAAAGCACCCAUCCCCUGACCUACCCUGUGCUGCACCAUCUUGGCUGAAGGCAGAGAGCUCAGAAUAUGUGGCUCUCAACACCUACUCAGUGGUGAUAGGCUGUAACUGCAACUGAAUAAUAUCAGAAUGAGGGAGAGCCGACUUUCCAUCAGACACUACAUCAAAUCUCCAGACCAGAGAGAAAAUGACAAAGGCCAGAACUCAGUCUGAGAUCACCUCUUUGAAAUAUAAGGCUGGACAGUUUUUAAAAGCUAGGUU
rnacentral:lncRNA from 1 species